UUCUGGGGGCGGCGCUUCAGGCUUUAGGAGCCGGAGGAGAGGUGGAGUUACCGGAGCUGGGGUUGACGUUGGAACUGAGACGGAAGCAGGGGCCAAACUGAGGGGUGAUACUGGUUUGGGAGCCAGGUUUGAGAUUGGGACUGGAGUUGUUCUUACCGGGCGUGUUCUGGCUCAGGACUGCGGCUGAGGUUCAACGCUCCACCUCUACACGAUGACUCCCCCCACAAGCCUCAGGAUCACAUCAAGGCCAGAGAGGGUGACCAACCUGGCCCAAAUCACACAGCGAUGCAGCUUGGUCAUCCAGGCUCUACUCUGCCACGCUGCUUCUAGACCCAGAGGACCUUCAAUGUUUUCAGGUUGCAGUUUUCCAUUAGUGGUCAUCGAUCCCGACCUCUUUCUGUAACGGAUGGAGAAAGGUCACUUUUCAGAAGAAGAAACCCAAGACCCAAGUGUGAAUUGGUGCAGAGGAAAAGAGACCUGCCCAGCGUCACCCAGUAUAGCUCAGAGUUCCAAACGUAUCACUUCUUGUCAUCUCGCAGCCCCUGGAGUACCAGGAAAGGAUUAUUUUUCCACCUUAUAGACGAUGAAAUGGAAGUCCGGAGAAGUGAAAUGAGCUUCCUGAGCUCACACAGCAAUGGCAGAACUGGGGCGGAAUCAGGCCUCCUGAGUUACAUGGUGAAACAGACACGGGCAAUCUGACCCCAAUGGAAGACCCACACCGCAGUGCAGACUGGGCCUCCCAUCCUGCCUCCUUCCUCUGUUAUCCCUUUCCCUGCCUCUCAUGCAGUCACUCAACAGGUAUUUUCGAGUACCUGCUCAUGUUCCAUUUCCAGCUUCUUGCCCUCCCUUCCCUACUAGGGUCUGCCAAGGCCCCUCCAAAACCUGGCUGGAUCUCUGGCUCCCCCUACUUAGUCCACCCUCAUUUCCUCAGACCACAAGACGGCUCUAGUCACAGACUCCUGGCUCUUAGAUGCCCGAGGACAUCAUUUUAAAGGGCUUUAGGGGGGCGCCUGGGUGGCUCCGUCAGUUGAGCGUCCAACUCUUGAUUUCAGCCCAGGUCACGAUCUCGCGGUUCGUGGACUCCAGCC